rnacentral:rRNA from 1 species
GACGAACGCUGGCGGCGCGCCUAACACAUGCAAGUCGAACGGAGCUGAGAGAAGCUUGCUUUUCUUAGCUUAGUGGCGAACGGGUGAGUAACGCGUGAGUAACCUGCCCUGGAGUGGGGGACAACAGUUGGAAACGACUGCUAAUACCGCAUAAGCCCACGAUCCGGCAUCGGAUUGAGGGAAAAGGAUUUAUUCGCUUCAGGAUGGACUCGCGUCCAAUUAGCUAGUUGGUGAGGUAACGGCCCACCAAGGCGACGAUUGGUAGCCGGACUGAGAGGUUGAGCGGCCACAUGGGGAGUGAGACCCGCCCCAGACCCCGAGGGGAGGAGGGAGGGGGGGUUGUGGCAAAAGGGGGGAACCCGUGAGGCAGCGACGCGGGGGGGAGAAAGAGGGUUUUGGAAUUAAAAACCCCUGUGGUAAGGGCCGAAAAGGACGGGACCUAAAAAAAAAGCCCGGGCUAACUACGUG